rnacentral:rRNA from 1 species
AUGUUGGCCGGGCGACGGUUGUCCCGGUUUAAGCGUGUAGGCUGGUUUUCCAGGCAAAUCCGGAAAACUAAGGCUGAGGCGUGAUGACGAGGCACUACGGUGCUGAAGCAACAAAUGCCCUGCUUCCAGGAAAAGCCUCUAAGCAUCAGGUAACAUCAAAUCGUACCCCAAACCGACACAGGUGGUCAGGUAGAGAAUACCAAGGCGCUUGAGAGAACUCGGGUGAAGGAACUAGGCAAAAUGGUGCCGUAACUUCGGGAGAAGGCACGCUGAUAUGUAGGUGAAGUCCCUCGCGGAUGGAGCUGAAAUCAGUCGAAGAUACCAGCUGGCUGCAACUGUUUAUUAAAAACACAGCACUGUGCAAACACGAAAGUGGACGUAUACGGUGUGACGCCUGCCCGGUGCCGGAAGGUUAAUUGAUGGGGUCAGCGCAAGCGAAGCUCUUGAUCGAAGCCCCGGUAAACGGCGGCCGUAACUAUAACGGUCCUAAGGUAGCGAAAUUCCUUGUCGGGUAAGUUCCGACCUGCACGAAUGGCGUAAUGAUGGCCAGGCUGUCUCCACCCGAGACUCAGUGAAAUUGAACUCGCUGUGAAGAUGCAGUGUACCCGCGGCAAGACGGAAAGACCCCGUGAACCUUUACUAUAGCUUGACACUGAACAUUGAGCCUUGAUGUGUAGGAUAGGUGGGAGGCUUUGAAGUGUGGACGCCAGUCUGCAUGGAGCCGACCUUGAAAUACCACCCUUUAAUGUUUGAUGUUCUAACGUUGACCCGUAAUCCGGGUUGCGGACAGUGUCUGGUGGGUAGUUUGACUGGGGCGGUCUCCUCCUAAAGAGUAACGGAGGAGCACGAAGGUUGGCUAAUCCUGGUCGGACAUCAGGAGGUUAGUGCAAUGGCAUAAGCCAGCUUGACUGCGAGCGUGACGGCGCGAGCAGGUGCGAAAGCAGGUCAUAGUGAUCCGGUGGUUCUGAAUGGAAGGGCCAUCGCUCAACGGAUAAAAGGUACUCCGGGGAUAACAGGCUGAUACCGCCCAAGAGUUCAUAUCGACGGCGGUGUUUGGCACCUCGAUGUCGGCUCAUCACAUCCUGGGGCUGAAGUAGGUCCCAAGGGUAUGGCUGUUCGCCAUUUAAAGUGGUACGCGAGCUGGGUUUAGAACGUCGUGAGACAGUUCGGUCCCUAUCUGCCGUGGGCGCUGGAGAACUGAGGGGGGCUGCUCCUAGUACGAGAGGACCGGAGUGGACGCAUCACUGGUGUUCGGGUUGUCAUGCCAAUGGCACUGCCCGGUAGCUAAAUGCGGAAGAGAUAAGUGCUGAAAGCAUCUAAGCACGAAACUUGCCCCGAGAUGAGUUCUCCCUGACUCCUUGAGAGUCCUGAAGGAACGUUGAAGACGACGACGUUGAUAGGCCGGGUGUGUAAGCGCAGCGAUGCGUUGAGCUAACCGGUACUAAUGAACCGUGAGGCUUAACCUU